ensembl:lncRNA
CCCUUCCAAAAGCUAAAGACGCUAUCUGGAAAAGUUGAAAUUGCUCUAAGUAAUACAGAGUACUUCCUUCAUAAGACAUCGUGUAAGUUUAAUAGUAUCUUUUGAAAAUGAUGACUGCUGUCAGAGGACUCCAUUCACCUGCUUGUGGACAACCUUGCUGAAGCAUCUUACCUACAAGUGGCCAUCGGGGACAAUUGCUCAGCCAUAGAGACGAGUUUCAGUGACUGCUGCCCUGAUACCAUAGGCUUUCCUGCUUUUGCAAGCACUGAAGCCUGAUAUAUAUCCUGCAGAAUGGAGAAGGACAGAGCAUUUUCCACUUUAGGUCUUUGCUGAAGGAAUCAUUCUAUAACCUCACCAAGGUUCCCACUCCCAACGAAUCUGAUUUCAGCAAAAAGAGUUGCUCACUUCAGUUAUCUUACAGAGAAGGGCAAAACUGUAUCAUUAGAUUUAGUUUGCCAUUUUGACAGCUAGAAGUGGACGUUCUGCUCUCCUGGUUUAAAAACCUGUUCAACCCUACUAAUUUCAUUUGGAUCACAUACAAGGUCACUCCAGGGAAUUUCGGAAGAAGACAGGAAGUGCUCCACUUGGACACCACUGAAGUCUCAGUGACUCAUCUCUGGGCACCUUGUGCAUCCUUCCAUCCACCCGCCUGAGCCCAGGCAGCACCCAGUGAAGGAGCUGGAAUGAUCUUCAUUUCACACCUGCCACAGAUGUGGAUUUCCCUGCUGCUUUGCAGUUAAGUAAUCUGAGGAAUUCAGCAGAGGCAAAAUGUAAGUCACGGGCUGAAAGCGGACCUCUGCAGACAGAGAGGAGAGUUCGUGACUGCAAUGAGUUUUGAAGGGCAGAGGACAUAUCUUUGGAGGUAACACUAUUUGCACAGAAGCAUUUCUGAAGAAAAACUGUGAUCCAUAAAGAACUUCCCGAACAAGAUAACUGCAAAGCAGAUUUAAUUGUGAAUAUUUAUUGCUCUUCAAAACAAUGAGACUGCUUAAUAAUGGUGCAACAAGAACUGAAAAUCCAGGAAGCAGGCAGUGCAAAGUCUACAACAUCCUUAGUUUUACCCCCUGUGUCCAUAUGUGCUCACUAUCCAUCAGCUGAAGUUCCUAAC